rnacentral:lncRNA from 1 species
GAGCACCCAACUGAACCAUCCUAUUGCUAUUAGACACUCCAGCUGUGUGUUUAGUUUACUGCUGUAAUGCUUCUCCACAAAAAAAGCCACAAAGGUCAGCUCAAAAUAUUUUUUUCCUAGUAAUUUGCUAGCCUCCAGUAGCUCCAGGUUUUCCUGAUAGCCCACUGCCAGCAGUUACUUCGCAGUUACCAUGACACCCACUAAUGCGCAAGACUCAAGCCUAAGAACAGAAAACAGUCAAGCCACACAAGAAGAUGGACAAGUUGUCAAGCAGAUAAGGCUGAAAAAGCAUAGAAAGACUCUCCAACUGAUGGGUCUGGAUUGCUGAGAUCGAAGCUGAAACUAACCAGGAAAUGUACCUAUAACAGAAGAAGUGGAUACGGAGAAACAGAAUGGAGGGGAAAAAAAAAAUUCUUGCGCUUUAUCAGCUUGGUAAGUAUCCAAAAUGAGGCCACCUUCUGAGUCAGGAUAAGAAUUGACAAACCC